AGACCAAGAGAGAGAGGCAGGGUCUGAUCCACAGCCUCAGUGGCAGCUGUUGAUUAGCACUUGCCUCUCUCUUUCUCUUCC
rfam:Myotis davidii contig167455, whole genome shotgun sequence.